rnacentral:rRNA from 1 species
AAGCCAUCGGGCAGCCUAUACUGCAGUCGAACGGUUGUAGCAAUACAAUAGUGGCGCACGGGUGCGUAACACGUAUGCAACCUACCUUAUAGACGGGGAUAGCCUUUGGAAACGGAGAUUAAUACCCGAUAGUAAUAUUGACUGGCAUCGGUUUAUAUUUAAAGAUUUAUCGCUAUAAGCUGGGCAUGCGUCCAAUUAGUUAGUUGGUUAGGUAACGGCUGACCAAGACGAUGAUUGGUAGGGGAACUGAGAGGUUAAUCCCCCACACUGGCACUGAGAUACGGGCCAGACUCCUACGGGAGGCAGCAGUAGGGAAUAUUGGGCAAUGGAGGCAACUCUGACCCAGCCAUGCCGCGUGCAGGAUGAAGGCGUUAUGCGUUGUAAACUGCUUUUAUAUAGGAAGAAAUAGACCUUGCGAGGUAAGUUGACGGUACUAUAUGAAUAAGCACCGGCUAACUCCGUGCCAGCAGCCGCGGUAAUACGGAGGGUGCAAGCGUUGUCCGGAUUUAUUGGGUUUAAAGGGUGCGUAGGCGGUUUAUUAAGUCAGUGGUGAAAGACGGUCGCUCAACGAUUGCAGUGCCAUUGAUACUGGUAGACUUGAGUGAGAUUGAGGUAGCUGGAAUGGAUAGUGUAGCGGUGAAAUGCAUAGAUAUUAUCCAGAACACCAAUUGCGUAUGCAAGUUACUAAGUCUCAACUGACGCUGACGCACGAAAGUGUGGGUAUCAAACACGAUUACAUACCCUGGUAGUCCACACUGUAAACGAUGAUAACUAACUGUUGGCCUUUGGGUCAGUGGUACAGAGAACUCUUUAAGUUCUCCACCUGGGGAGUACGCCGCUACUGUGAAACUCAAAGGAAUUGACGGGGGUCCGCACAGCCGUGGAGCAUGUGGUUUAAUUCGACCAUACGCGACGAAUCUUACCUAGGCU